UACGUAGGGGGCUAGCGUUGUCCGGAUUUAUUGGGCGUAAAGAGCGUGUAGGCGGCCAGAUAGGUCUGCUGUGAAAACUCGAGGCUCAACCUCGAGAUGUCGGCGGAAACCAUUUGGCUAGAGUCCGGAAGAGGAAAGUGGAAUUCCUGGUGUAGCGGUGAAAUGCGCAGAUAUCAGGAGGAACACCGGUGGCGAAGGCGGGUCUCUGGGCCGAGAUUGACGCUGAGGAGCGAAAGCGUGGGGAGCGAACAGG
rnacentral:rRNA from 1 species